CGCACAUUGCGCCCGCUGGUAUUCCAGCGGGCAUGCCUGUUCGAGCGUCAUUUCAACCCCCCAAGCCCCGUCUUGGUUGUUGGGACAUUGCCCCCCCCACUCCGGGAGGGCAAGUCCUCAAAUUCAGUGGCGAGCCCGCCAGGACUCCGAGCGUAGUAGUAUCUCAACCACCUCGCUUAGGACGGACUGGUGCGGUAUUGGCCGUAAAACCCCCCAAAUUUUACCAAAGGUUGACCUCGGAUCAGGUAGGAAUACCCGCUGAACUUAA
rnacentral:misc_RNA from 1 species